rnacentral:rRNA from 1 species
UAAACCGGGAUUAGAUACCCCGCUAUACGGGGGAGUCCCCCAAGGGGGGUAGUAUCGGCUACGGCCCCCAAACCCAAAGAACUUGGCGGCAACCCAUCCUACUAGAGGAGCCUGCCCCGUAACCGAUAUCACCCGUUAACUCCGGCCCCCAGUAUGUCUGUAUACCGCCGUCUAACCCCUAGCUACGAGGGUGGGGUGUCAAGGUCACCACCAAAGACAGGUCGAGGUGCAGCGGAUCUGGGGGGGGUGGUGGGCUACAAUCCCUAUGGGGCGGACCCCCCCCUACCGGGGGGGGGCAAGAUGGAUUUAGUAGUACCUGGGGGUUAACACCCUCUGGGGAAAUGGGUCUGGGUCGUGUACAUAUCGCCCGUCACUCUCAACAAACUUGAGAU